CAUGGUCAAGUCAUUUUCAAGCCUCUAAUACUUGCGAAACAAAGAGAUCAUGUUACAAUCUAGGAUGUACUUAACAAGGUAGAUACAACUUACACUGAAUAACUACAGCAUCGCCAACAAGAGUGUCCCUAAUUCUUCAUCUAUCACAGUAGUUCAUAUUCCAGGAAGCUAUUGACACUUAAAAACAUGAAAAUGUGACAUUUA